GCUAUAUCUUCCUACUAGAGCUAAGCUGC
rnacentral:piRNA from 1 species